GUGGGGAAUAUUGGGCAAUGGGCGAAAGCCUGACCCAGCAACGCCGCGUGAAGGAAGAAGGUUUUCGGAUUGUAAACUUCUGUCCUCAGGGAAGAAGGACGUGACGGUACCUGAGGAGGAAGCCCCGGCUAACUACGUGCCAGCAGCCGCGGUAAUACGUAGGGGGCGAGCGUUGUCCGGAAUGACUGGGCGUAAAGGGCGCGUAGACGGCUGUCUAAGUCUGGAGUGAAAGUCCUGUUUUCAAGGUGGGAAUUGCUUUGGAGACUGGAUGGCUUGAGUGCGGAAGAGGUAAGUGGAAGUCCCAGUGUAGCGGUGAAAUGCGUAGAGAUUGGGAGGAACACCAGUGGCGAAGGCGACUUACUGGGCCGUAACUGACGUUGAAGCGCGAAAGCGUGGGGAGCGAACAGGAUUAGAAACCCGAGUAGUCC
rnacentral:rRNA from 1 species